CCUGGUGGCUCAGAUAGUAAAGCGUCUGCAUGCAAUGCAGGAGACCAGGGUUUGAUCCCUGGGCCAGGA
rnacentral:tRNA from 1 species